GAUGAACGCUGGCGGCGUGCCUAAUACAUGCAAGUCGAGCGAACAGACGAGGAGCUUGCUCCUUCGACGUUAGCGGCGGACGGGUGAGUAACACGUAGGUAACUUACCUAUAAGACUGGGAUAACUUCGGGAAACCGGAGCCAAUACCGGAUAAUAUUUCGAACCGCAUGGUUCGUUAGUGAAAGAUGGCUUUGCUAUCACUUAUAGAUGUACCUGCGCCGUAUUAGCUAGUUGGUAAGGUAACGGCUUACCAAGGCAACGAUACGUAGCCGACCUGAGAGGGUGAUCGGCCACACUGGAACUGAGACACGGUCCAGACUCCUACGGGAGGCAGCAGUAGGGAAUCUUCCGCAAUGGGCGAAAGCCUGACGGAGCAACGCCGCGUGAGUGAUGAAGGUCUUCGGAUCGUAAAACUCUGUUAUUAGGGAAGAACAAACGUGUAAGUAACUGUGCACGUCUUGACGGUACCUAAUCAGAAAGCCACGGCUAACUACGUG
rnacentral:rRNA from 1 species